AUGUGCGCCCACGUCAUCGAGCAAGGGUGAUGCUCCUCGACAGGGCUAGUCAUCGCGAGCUAAUUACAGAACGGGACGCUUGGGAGCUGAUCGAAACAAACCACUGUGUUGAUAUCUCUUACUUACAACAGCUGCUGUUUUUUUUUUUAGAACAGUCCGGAGUUGGAAUCUCUGCAUUGAGCCAGUAGGAUUCAUGGGGUUUUGAGGAUUUUGAGGUUUCUAGUAUUUCAGUGUGUUGUUUCUCAACUUGGACGGACGAUCGCGGAUUACUAUGGCGAUGCGGAUGAAGUAUUGAUGGGAGUAGAGGAGUGAUUGCAAUUGCUGUUAUCAUGAGGAAGCGCGACUUGGGAAUUUUGUUACUGUCCGCGUUGGCCAUUUUCUUCUCGCUCCAGAGUAUGGGUUUUUGGUGGAGAAGAGUGAUUGGGUCUGAAGCUCUCUCUUUGACGACGCAUACCGCUGCAGCGCAUUAAGGGCAUGUUGGACUAUUUUUGUGAAGAUCUUUUUUUAAUCCUUAGAUAGUAGUGAUGGUGAUAUUGAUAGAAAGAAAAUCUCACUACUAGUUUUUGCAUGAUUUAUUCUAAAAUUGAAUAUUGGAUUAGGAUUUUUUAUCUAAGGCUCUAAAUUUGAUUCAAUUGACGAUAGUUGGAUGCUUGAAAAUAAGUCUUCAUAAAUAAUAUUUUUUUUCUUUUUGAUAUUAGUAUUUUUUUCCAUCACAUAAUACAUCACUAUUAAUAAUAAUUUUUUAUUUUAUUAGAUUAAAUAGUUUAUAUGCCUUUCUUUUCUUAUUAAUGUCUACAAACAAGCAUAGUUGGAUUUUAUUAUCUAUCUUCUUUUUAUUUUUUUUUAGAAUGUAUAUUUAUACAAAGCAUCCAAAUAUUUUCAAAUAAUUAAUGUAUGGAAUUUUACUUGAAUACUUAUUUUUUUAUAGUCACUUCAUUAUUAGCUCAUGUUGGAUCUUAAUUCACCAAGUAAUUAGUAGUUACAAUUUCUUUUGGCUAUAGAAAUAGGAGUAAUUUAUAUUCAUUUGUCAAGUUCUUUUUUUAUUCAAUCAAGGUCAUAUUUAUUUUAUCAAUUUUUUUGUUCUAUUGUAAUAUAGCAAUUGAAUUAGCUCUCUUCUUAUUUUAUGAUCAUGACAAUAAUUUUUGAAUUCAACUAACAUAUAUUAUCUUCAAUAAUUUAUUCAAAAUAUUUACAUUCUAUUUCAUAUUUAGCAACAAAGUAUUCUUUAAAUUAUCAAAAAAAAAAUUAAAAGUUUUAUUCUUAUUUUUUAAAAGAAUUUAUUUUUAUUUUUUUGUAAAAAAUCAGCUAUGAAUACUAAAAUAUAUUAUGAUCCUUCCAACAAAGGAUUGAUGUAUUAGUCCUACUAAAUCUAAGUAGAUCUUUUGUCAUGCCUUAAUUGCACUAAUAUUAAAUCUACAAAAUAAUCUUUUUCAAUGUUGCCUUCUUGCUAAGCAAUUUUUACAUACUUUAUAAUAAAGAAUAAUUUUUGGGAGUCUACUAA